rnacentral:rRNA from 1 species
GGUCUGAGAGGAUGAUCCGCCACACUGGGACUGAGACACGGCCCAGACUCCUACGGGAGGCAGCAGUGGGGAAUAUUGGACAAUGGGGGGAACCCUGAUCCAGCCAUGCCGCGUGUGUGAAGAAGGCCUUUUGGUUGUAAAGCACUUUAAGCGAGGAGGAGGCUACUUACAAUUAAUCUCUUAAAUUAGUGGACGUUACUCGCAGAAUAAGCACCGGCUAACUCUGUGCCAGCAGCCGCGGUAAUACAGAGGGUGCGAGCGUUAAUCGGAUUUACUGGGCGUAAAGCGUACGUAGGCGGCUUUUUAAGUCGGAUGUGAAAUCCCUGAGCUUAACUUAGGAAUUGCAUUCGAUAC